CCUACGGGCGGCAGCAGUGGGGAAUAUUGCACAAUGGCCGGAACGCUGAUGCAGCGACGCCGCGUGAGUGACGAAGUAAUUCGUUAUUUAAAGCUUUAUCAGCCAGGGAGAAAAUGACGGUACCUGAGUAAGAAGCCCCGUCUAACUACGUGCCAGCAGCCGCGGUAAUACGGAGGGGGCUAGCGUUAUCCGGAUUUACUGGGUGUAAAGGGGGCGUAGACGGCAGUGCAAGUCUGGAGGGAAAGGCGGGGGCUCAACCCCCGGACGGCUCUGGAAACUGGACGGCUGGAGUGCAGGAGAGGUAAGUGGAAUGCGUAGUGUAGCGGUGAAAUGCAUAGAUAUUAGGAGGAACACCAGUGGCGAAGGCGGCUUACUGGACGGUAACUGACGCUGAGGCUCGAAAGCGUGGGGAGCAAACAGGAUUAGAUACCCCAGUAGUC
rnacentral:rRNA from 1 species